rnacentral:lncRNA from 1 species
UUUUGUUUUGUAUCUACUCUACUUUAGCAGCCAGGAUCCGGGUUGCAUUUCACUUUCUUAUACUCAGUCAUACACACCAAUCUUGUCAUAUUGGACUCCAAAAACCAUACACAAGCUUAUUAUGGCUUUCCCAAGUUUUGUAAGUGAGGACGAAGUCCCUAUGAGUUUUUUUGUUUUGUAUCUACUCUACUUUAGCAGCCAAGAUCCGGGUUGCAUUUCACUUUCUUAUACUCAGUCAUACACACCAAUCUUGUCAUAUUGGACUCCAAAAACCAUACACAAGCUUAUUAUGGCUUUCCCAAGUUUUGUAAGUGAGGACGAAGUCCCUAUGAGUUUUUUUGUUUUAUAUCUACUCUACUUUAGCAGCUAGGAUACGGGUUGCAUUUCACUUUCUUAUACUCAGUCAU